rnacentral:rRNA from 1 species
UACGGGGGGGGCAAGCGUUGUUCGGAAUUACUGGGCGUAAAGGGCUCGUAGGUGCCAACUAAGUCAGACGUGAAAUCCCUCGGCUUAACCGGGGAACUGCGUCUGAUACUGGAUGGCUUGAGUUUGGGAGAGGGACGCGGAAUUCCAGGUGUAGCGGUGAAAUGCGUAGAUAUCUGGAGGAACACCGGUGGCGAAGGCGGCGACCUGGGGUAGAUACUGACGCUGAGGUGCGAAAGCGUGGGGAGCGAACAGG